GAUGAACGCUGGCGGCAUGCCUAAUACAUGCAAGUCGAACGAGAGGAAGGAAAGCUUGCUUUCCUGAAUCUAGUGGCGAACGGGUGAGUAACACGUAGGUAACCUGCCCAUGUGCCCGGGAUAACUUCUGGAAACGGAGGCUAAAACCGGAUAGGUAGCAGACAAGCAUUUGACUGCUAUUAAAGUGGCCUUGGCCAUGAACAUGGAUGGACCUGCGGUGCAUUAGCUAGUUGGUGAGGUAACGGCCCACCAAGGCGACGAUGCAUAGCCGGCCUGAGAGGGCGGACGGCCACAUUGGGACUGAGACACGGCCCAAACUCCUACGGGAGGCAGCAGUAGGGAAUUUUCGUCAAUGGGGGGAACCCUGAACGAGCAAUGCCGCGUGAGUGAGGAAGGUCUUCGGAUCGUAAAGCUCUGUUGUAAGAGAAAAACGGCACUCAUAGGGAAUGAUGAGUGAGUGAUGGUAUCUUACCAGAAAGUCACGGCCAACUACGUGCCAGCCGCCGCAGUAAUAC
rnacentral:rRNA from 1 species